CGAAGGGGCUAGCGUUGCUCGGAAUCACUGGGCGUAAAGCGCACGUAGGCGGAUCUUUAAGUCAGAGGUGAAAUCCCAAGGCUCAACCUUGGGAACUGCCUUUGAUACUGGGGAUCUCGAGUCCGGAAGAGGUGAGUGGAACUGCGAGUGUAGAGGUGAAAUUCGAGAUAUUCGCAAGAACACCAGUGGCGAAAGGCGGCUCACUGGUCCGGUACUGACGCUGAAGGUGCGAAAGCGUGGGAGCAAAACAGGAUU
rnacentral:rRNA from 1 species